AGGCUCUAACCAAACAUGUAACAGGUUGUCAGCAGCUGGUCAAGGAGCCAGUUGAUGUGGUUCGGGUAUCUGAUCAGGAUGCCUCCUGUGCGCCCCCCUUUGGAGUUUUUUGGACACGCCCAACUGGAAGAACACGCUGGGGAGAUUACAUACCUCAUCUGGCUCCCCGAGGAGGAGACAGAAGACGUUUGGUAGAGGGACGUCACAUGACUACCUUGCUUAGCCUGUUGCCACCACGACCUGGCUCUGGAUAAGCAGUGGAAAAUGAAUGGAUCUAUGGAUGAAUCGUCAACCGACUACAGUUUUUCUUUGGACCGAUUUCAAAAAUAAAACAUAAAUGAGAAUGACUA